rnacentral:rRNA from 1 species
UACGUAGGUGGCAAGCGUUGUCCGGAUUUACUGGGCGUAAAGGGCGCGUAGGCGGUGUGUCAAGUCAGGCGUGAAAGCCCCGGGCUCAACCUGGGAACCGCGCUUGAGACUGGCACGCUCGAGUUCGGGAGAGGAUGGUGGAAUUCCCAGUGUAGAGGUGAAAUUCGUAGAUAUUGGGAAGAACACCGAUGGCGAAGGCAGCCAUCUGGACCGACACUGACGCUGAGGCGCGAAAGCGUGGGGAGCAAACAGG